GUGGGGAAUUUUGGACAAUGGGCGAAAGCCUGAUCCAGCCAUGCCGCGUGCAGGAUGAAGGCCUUCGGGUUGUAAACUGCUUUUGUACGGAACGAAACGGUCCGGGUUAAUACCCUGGGCUAAUGACGGUACCGUAAGAAUAAGCACCGGCUAACUACGUGCCAGCAGCCGCGGUAAUACGUAGGGUGCAAGCGUUAAUCGGAAUUACUGGGCGUAAAGCGUGCGCAGGCGGUUUUGUAAGACAGGCGUGAAAUCCCCGGGCUCAACCUGGGAAUUGCGCUUGUGACUGCAAGGCUGGAGUGCGGCAGAGGGGGAUGGAAUUCCGCGUGUAGCAGUGAAAUGCGUAGAUAUGCGGAGGAACACCGAUGGCGAAGGCAAUCCCCUGGGCCUGCACUGACGCUCAUGCACGAAAGCGUGGGGAGCAAACAGGAUUAGAAACCCUGGUAGUCC
rnacentral:rRNA from 1 species